rnacentral:rRNA from 1 species
UUGGAGGGCAAGUCUGGUGCCAGCAGCCGCGGUAAUUCCAGCUCCAAUAGCGUAUAUUAAAGUUGUUGCAGUUAAAAAGCUCGUAGUUGAAUUUCGGGGUCAAUAAGUUGGUCGUGCCAAUGGUAUGUACUGGCUUUAUUGAUUCCUACCUCUUGACGAACUGUGAUGCCAUUAAUUUGGUGUUGCAGGAAAUCAGGACUGUUACCUUGAAAAAAUUAGAGUGUUUAAAGCAGGCUUACGCUUGAAUACAUUAGCAUGGAAUAAUGAAAUAGGACGUUUGAACCUAUUUUGUUGGUUUCUAGGAUCGACGUAAUGAUUUAUAGGGAUAGUUGGGGGCAUUAGUAUUCAAUUGUCAGAGGUGAAAUUCUUGGAUUUAUUGAAGACUAACUACUGCGAAAGCAUUUGCCAAGGAUGUUUUCAUUAAUCAAGAACGAAAGUUAGGGGAUCGAAGACGAUCAGAUACCGUCGUAGUCUUAACCAUAAACUAUGCCGACUAGGGAUCGGAUGAUGUUAAUUUUUUAAUGACUCAUUCGGCGCCUUACGGGAAACCAAAGUGUUUGGGUUC